GUCCCUGUAGCGCAAAGGAUAGCGCGUUGGACUUCUAAUCCAAAGAUUGUGGGCUCGAAUCCUACCCGGGACG
rnacentral:tRNA from 1 species